rnacentral:pre_miRNA from 1 species
UAAAUACUCCCUCCAUCCCAAAAAUUUUGUCUUAGAUUUAUCUAGAUAUGAAUGUAUAUAGCCACAUUUUAGUAUUUUAAUACAUUUUUUUCUAGACAAACCUAAGACAAGAAUUUUGGGACGGAGGGAGUAUAAG